rnacentral:lncRNA from 1 species
GGGCCCACAGAGAAAAGGAGCAUACAAUCCAUUUUUAUUUCUAGGUAACAAGAGAACAUAUACUAUUCAUCUUUCUUCUCCAUUCAUACAAACAUACGCAUAGAAAAAGGAAAAAUAUACAAACACCUGAGACCAUACUCAUCACCCACCGUCACAUCUUCAUCACCACACGCACAAAAUCGCACAUUCACAUAAUACGGAUCCACACACUCACUGGUAGAGGGCUCCCAAUUUCCAUGGAAGGGAUACUCACCAUCAACAUACAGUGAGGAGAGUAUACACAGAACAUUACAGAAGAGAGCAAACCAAGAGAGAUCGGGGAGAGAGGUAGAAAGGAGAAGGGAGAUUGAGAGAAAAACAACGAGAGAGAGAUAGAAGCGAUUGAGAGAGAGAUCGAAGAGCACUGUUCCAGCUAGUGGUGUCUCACCGAAAAACUCAGCUAAAGUCGUCGUAAAAUGCCCUCUCCAUUGGAACGCGACCAGUUUCAUUCGUUCCCAGCUCCGGCAAAACAGAAACAGUUCACCCAUCGCCUGAAACGUCCUCUCCUCGUUGGAAAGAGGUCACCCACCUCAACUUUUGGCCCAACCUCUCCGUAAACUAUAAGUCGGGGAUCGAAUCCAUGAAACCCGAACUGUUUUAGUCUAUUCCGACCAAAUUUCAUCCAACAACAAUUAAAAAUCAAAAUGGGUUAGUUGGUUCAUUCGGGUUCAUUCGGAUUUUUGUUGGUUUGUUCAAGUUGUGGGUUCGACGUUGAGGUUUCAGUUGGGUCGAGGUUCGUUGCUCCGUGAAUUCCGAUCCAUCAUGGGUUUUUCAAAAUAAAAAUCAUCAAAUUGAGGUCCGAUUCUACUUCCUCAGUCUUUUAUUUAAUUGUGUAUUCUAUUCUAUGUAUUGAAUUAAACAUGAUAUGAAUUAUUGUUGUUGCGAUUCUGUGAUUAAUUUUGUGAUUAUAGAUUGUGUGUUGAAAUGACACUUUAUUUGUGUUUAGAAUGGAUUUGGGGAGAAAAUGGAGAAAUUGAUAAAAAAUUAAUUUGUUUAGAUCAGUUAAUUGAUGGAUGUAGAUGAAUUCGGAAGUAUGAUGAUAAGAACGUCAAAAGCGUAGGCAAAUUUAGAACUUAUGGAUUGUUUGAGUUUUGGAAUGUUUAUGGAAUGGUUAGUCUUUCUCACAUUUGAAAAAUGUAUUCGUUUAGCCGGGGAAUGCCCCGAGAUAUAUUGUAUUUAUUCACCGAAGAAUUUCCCGACGUAUUAUGUUGGCGUAAGACAUUCGUGAUGAAAGCCCAAAACGUCGGGUGGAGAAAGUAAUGGAAUGUAGUUUAGAAUUAGCAUAGAAUAGAGUAGGUUUAUAUUUUCGCAUUUUUCUAUUUCGGAAUUGUAAUAAUCAGACUGAACACUAUAAUUUUUUAUUUGUUUUGUUUGUUUGUUUGAUUGAUCGUUUUGUGUGAUUUUGUGUAGUUUAUAUAUUCAUAAUGCCAAAAUAACCGAUACACUCCACCAAGCUAAUUAUUGUGAUUUAUAAUAAUUUUUACGUAAUUAUCAAAUAAUAUAUUUACUCCUUGUGUCCCAAUUUAUGUGGCUUCGAUAGAAUUUUGAGAGUCAACUAAAAUUUUUAUAUAUCUUUUAAAUAUUUUAAGUUGUUGAUUAUUAUGAUUUGCAGUACUUUUUUAUCUCAAUUUAUGUGUCAUUGUUAAAAUAAUGAGAGUCAAUAAAAUUUUUAUAUGUGGUAACAAAUUAUUGUGAUUUGUGGUAACAAAUUAGUUUUGAACAUGAUAGCUAAUUAAAUAAAAAAAAUUACUUUCAAUAUGUAGUUAUAGUUAACUAGUAUAAAUUAAUAUAAUAUAUUAAAUAUUUAAAUUAUUAUAAUGAAACAAUGAAAUUAUUAUAUAU